GAAGCCCAGGCCUCCGGAGUCCAGGGAAUAUGCCUCGGCCCCAGCCCCACCGUGGACCCCUACAGAGAGGAAUGUACACGGAGGAGACUGGACACGUUUGGGCCUCAUUGUCACGGUAUGACCAAGGCCAGGUCACCUAGUCUCUUGGGACCCCACAGAAUCUCCCAGGAAGAAUAAGAGGCACUUCUACCGGUCCAGGCUGGUGGUCAUCCAACCCCUGACUUCUUUCCCUGCAUCUGGUGUUGCCUGAAAUGAAAAGCCCUUUGACAAACAAGGAGAGAAGCAAAGUUCAGAGGGCUGGAGAGAAGCCUGUGGGGAUACACAGACUUUGGGAAGUCACCCACCUCCCUUCAUGUCUCAGAUUUGGUAGCCUGGGACCUUGGGAGUAGUAGCACUUCCCCACCCCAAGACCACCAUCCAACACCGUUGAGAACGCAGGACCUGGCCACAGCUUCUGCAGGUGCUGCUUACAUCUCCCCCACAGCCCACCCUCAGCAGCUGGGGCUGCCGAAGUCCCAGAAAACAAAGUUCCUGCCCCCAAAAUCCUUGGCACAGUCAAAUGGUUCCAAAUCAGAAACAGAUCUUCUAUCAGUGGAAAUGACACUCAAGAAGAUAUAUUACCAUCUGCCUUGCUGCUGCGCCCUAAGGACUAGCGGGGCCUUUCCAUCUGUUCUGCAGCUGGGCCCUCCAGUAUGUGCUGUCUGCCCCCAUUAAAAUGUGAGCUCCCUGAGAGCAGAUUGUCAUGAUUUCCUAUUUGUAUCCCAGCACCUAGCGUAAUGCUUGGCCCAUAGCAAUAAAUGUCUUUAUACUCACUGGAAAGUAAGAAGUCUGGACUGUUUAUGAGAUCAGGUGUGUCUUUUCUGUUUGGAUUUUUUUUGUUGUUGGAUUAAAUAAAACACAUCCUGUGUUUCAUAUAUUCAAUCUAAUGGCUUGCAUGGAAGUUAAGACUUUUUUUCCCCUUUUUCUGUAGAGACAUGGACACAAAGUAUAUUUUUCAGAUGUUCUCAAGGGAAGCCUUGGGUCAAGGCAUGGG